rnacentral:rRNA from 1 species
GAUGAACGCUGGCGGCGUGCCUAAUACAUGCAAGUCGAGCGAACGGACGAGAAGCUUGCUUUUCUUAUGUUAGCGGCGGACGGGUGAGUAACACGUGGAUAACCUACCUAUAAGACUGGGAUAACUUCGGGAAACCGGAGCUAAUACCGCAUAAUAUUUUGAACCGCAUGGUUCAAAAGUGAAAGACGGUCUUUCUGUCACUUAUAGAUUCAUCCGCGCUGCAUUAGCUAGUUGGUAAGGUAACGGCUUACCAAGGCAACGAUGCAUAGCCGACCUGAUAGGGUGGACGGCCACACGGGAACUGAGACACGGUCCAGACUCCUACGGGAGGCAGCAGUAGGGAAUCUUCCGCAAUGGGCGAAAGCCUGACGGAGCAAAGCCGCGUGAGUGAUGAAGGUCUUAGGGUCGUAAAACUCUGUUAUUAGGGAAGAACAUAUGUGUAAGUAACUGUGCACAUCUUGACGGUACCUAAUCAGAAAGCCACGGCUAACUACGUG